rnacentral:rRNA from 1 species
AACGAACGCUGGCGGCAUGCCUAACACAUGCAAGUCGAACGAGACCUUCGGGUCUAGUGGCGCACGGGUGCGUAACGCGUGGGAAUCUGCCCUCAGGUACGGAAUAACUCAGGGAAACUUGAGCUAAUACCGUAUAAUGACUUCGGUCCAAAGAUUUAUCGCCUGAGGAUGAGCCCGCGUAGGAUUAGCUUGUUGGUGAGGUAAAGGCUCGCCAAGGCGACGAUCCUUAGCGGUCUGAGAGGAUGAUCAGCCACACUGGGACUGAGACACGGCCCAGACUCCUACGGGAGGCAGCAGUGGGGAAGUAAUUGGACGAAUGGGCGGAAAGACCUGAUCCAGCAAUGCCGCCGUGAGU